rnacentral:rRNA from 1 species
UACGGGGGAUGCAAGCGUUAUCCGGAUUUAUUGGGUUUAAAGGGUGCGUAGGCUGUGAGGUAAGUCAGCGGUGAAAUGCCCCCGCUCAACGGGGUGAAGUGCCAUUGAUACUGCCUUGCUGGAAUGCGGAUGCCGUGGGAGGAAUGUGUGGUGUAGCGGUGAAAUGCAUAGAUAUCACACAGAACACCGAUUGCGAAGGCAUCUCACGAAUCCGUGAUUGACGCUGAUGCACGAAAGCGUUGGUAUCAAACAGG